rnacentral:piRNA from 1 species
AGUAAGAUCGAGAAUUGACAA